ACAGCUCAGUCAGUAGAGCAUGAGAUUCUUAAUCUUAGGGCUGUGGGUUCAAGCCCAACGUUGGGCA